CCUACGGGGGGCAGCAGUGGGGAAUAUUGGGCAAUGGGCGCAAGCCUGACCCAGCAACGCCGCGUGAAGGAAGAAGGCUUUCGGGUUGUAAACUUCUUUUGUCAGGGAAGAGUAGAAGACGGUACCUGACGAAUAAGCCACGGCUAACUACGUGCCAGCAGCCGCGGUAAUACGUAGGUGGCAAGCGUUGUCCGGAUUUACUGGGUGUAAAGGGCGUGUAGCCGGGUUGACAAGUCAGAUGUGAAAUCCUGCGGCUUAACCGCAGAACUGCAUUUGAAACUGGUGAUCUGGAGUACUGGAGAGGCAGACGGAAUGCCUAGUGUAGCGGUGAAAUGCGUAGAUAUUAGGCAGAACACCAAUGGCGAAGGCAGUCUGCUGGACAGCAACUGACGGUGAGGCGCGAAAGCGUGGGGAGCGAACAGGAUUAGAUACCCGGGUAGUC
rnacentral:rRNA from 1 species